GCCGGGCGCGAUGGCGCACACCUGUAAUCCCAGCAGCUUGGGAGGCUGAGGCAGGAGGAUCAUGAGUUCAAAGCCAGCCUCAGCAAGGGCGAGGCACUAAACAACUCAGGGAGACCUUGUCUCUA
rnacentral:sRNA from 1 species